GACGAACGCUGGCGGCGUGCUUAACACAUGCAAGUCGAACGGAAAGGUCUGCUUUCCCUUGUGGAUUGCGGGUACUCGAGUGGCGAACGGGUGAGUAACACGUGAGUGAUCUGCCCCCAACUUGGGUAUAAGCCUGGGAAACUGGGUCUAAUUCCCGAUAGGACUGCAGGGUGGUGCCUGUGGUGGAAAACGAUUUUCUAGUGGUUGGGGAUGAGCUCGCGGCCUAUCAGCUUGUUGGUGGGGUAAUGGCCUACCAAGGCGGCGACGGGUAGCCGGCCUGAGAGGGUGGACGGCCACAUUGGGACUGAGAUACGGCCCAGACUCCUACGGGAGGCAGCAGUGGGGAAUAUUGCACAAUGGGCGGAAGCCUGAUGCAGCGACGCCGCGUGGGGGAUGACGGCCUUCGGGUGGUAAACUCCUUUCGACCGCGAGGAAGCCACCUGGUUGGAAGGGUGGUGACGGUAGUGGUAGAAGAAGCACCGGCUAACUACGUG
rnacentral:rRNA from 1 species